ensembl:lncRNA
AUGAAGCGGAGCUCCCCAAAACGCAGCGCGGUCCGGAGCCGACAUCAGCCGGUUGAGCCCUACUUGCUGACUGCACGCCCGAUGGUUUUCACUAACCUCUUAUUCAGAGUGAAGUUUUUUGUUUGUUUGUGGUGUUUUGUUUUUUUUUUCGGCUUCACACCCACCGGGGGGGGACGUUUGUUUGAGGGACAACUAAGAGCGAGCCCGCUUAAAGCGCGCAGAACCGAGCCGCCCCUCUCCUCAACUCCCCGCACAAGCACACAUCUCCUCCUCUUCCUCCUCCUCCUCCUCCUCCCCGUGCUCCCGAGGCCAGGCAGAGCCCCUCGGAGCUCCUGCAGAGGGGCACGUUUCACCCGCACCCCCCGCACUUUAGCAGCGCUCCCAGCUCCCGCACCGCCAACCGGCAAAGCAAAGCACACCAAAAUACCUGCUCCGGCCACGGGAAGCCAAGGCGCUGCCAGCUGCCGGCGCAGCCCCGCGGCCGAGGGCCUAGAGACCCUCAAUAAACUGGGACCCCCACAUAUAGGCACAGCACAAAUGCUUAAAGCAUUAGUAUCCCUAGAACUGCACAUCCUCCAGUGACCAGGAAAGAAGGGAAGAGAGAGGAUCCUGAAGUCAUACAGCAGGUGACACAACCCAAGACCAGGGAUGUUCAUUUCCUGAAAGCUCAGAGAAAUGAGAGGAUCCGGGGAUGCUGUGCAUGACCCAAAAUGAAGUUUUUCUCCUCCCUGUGCCUAAACAAAACCCUCUACAGCCCAGCGCUUCAGGCCAUACAUAGAAAAUCAGUUGGCACCACAGGCUGAUUUGGCAAAGAUUUUCUAUGGAUACUACUGAAAAUAAAACUAAGAAAAGCACAGCCUCAGCAGGCGCAGUCUGGCACACACAACCUGGCACAACAAUCUGCCAUAGAGGGCUGUAUACCCUGAAGAAAUUCUUAUACAUGUGCCUAAACAAAACCCUCUUAUUCUCUUCCCAAAAGUUAAUCUAGGUUUACUUUUAAAUAAAGAAAUACAUUUUCCACACAAAACCUGCAGAGAAAGGGUAAAGGAGGCUUUGCUUUGUGGGAAGCAUCAUUCUCCUGGUGCCUAGCCAAAGCUUUGCCAAACUGAAACAUUGAUGACUUAUUUUUCUUGUCAACAGAGCUCUGAAGUCACAGAGGGAGGAGCUGAUCAUCCCUCUUGUGCUUUUCUCAACAGAGGGCAAAGUGGAAGCUGCACCCCCUUCUUGGGGCAGCUCCUCAGGGCAGCCACACCAAGCAGCUCAUGCAUAUUUGGGUGAAGAGCAGGUCCCUCCUUUCCUUACUGCAGGGCAGCAUGGCUGUGACACAUGCUACAGGCACAGAUCUCUGCUGUCAUCAGGGCCAGCUUAUCCACUUGGCUCUCCAAAGAAUUCCAGGUUGCUGUUCCAUUUUUAUUAUAUCCGCGCUAAGCUGCAAAACUGGCCCCUCAUCUCAGCAGCAUCCCCCAAGGAGAUGACGGGUUCUCAGGAUCUCCUCGAGUGCCUCGGGGGCCAGGGCCAGAGCAGCAGUGAAAUGCACUGCUUAGCUCCUGACUCCCAGCACAGCAAAAAGCAUGCAUAAUGAAAGCAGAAGACUCGUGUGUGUGUGUGUGUGUACAGGAAAAUCCCUUUAUUUAGUAAACAAAUAGCACCAUGAGAGGCAUUCCAAGGAAAAAAUAAUGUUUUUCUAAAUGAAUUUGCCUUCUCUUAAAUGCAAGCUUGGUCUAAUCUGUGCAUGUUUUAGCCUAGAGAGAGGCCCUGCCCUCUAGGAAAUGCUGCUCAUUUGUGCAGAGUAAAUUAGCUACAUGAUAUGUUGCAUUUUCCAAAUGCUGAAAGGCUUUGGCUCCUCAUUUCCUUUUAACUGGAAUAUUUUCUCAGGUUUAUGAGACCAAAUACUGUAUUUUGCUCUAGUCUGUGCUUUCAAAUGUAAUUUGCUCAUGCUAUUUGAACUGAAGCCACUAUGUCAUUGUUGAAUACCCAUGUUAAAAUCUGCAUAUAUAAUAAAGAUAUACACAUUAAUUUAUAUAAAUAUUAUGCAUACAUGCAUUAGAUAUAUGUGUACCCCGUUUUAAAAAUUAAUUGCUAAGGAUCCUUUUAUUUUUUUUCAGUCACACAGAAUGUUCUAUCUUUAAUGAGUGCAUUUCUGUAAAAAAAAAAAAAAAGAAAAAAAGAAUGUUUUAAAUAAUAUAAAUUAAUAAAUAUAUUCCAAUUCCAAACCAGCACAAUACUGUGAACAUUGUUUCAUUCA